rfam:Hebeloma cylindrosporum h7 unplaced genomic scaffold scaffold_1, whole genome shotgun sequence.
GCCUCCUUGGCUCAGUUGGCUAGAGCGCAGGUCUCAUAUGUUCGUGUAUGAGUAAUCAAAGAUUACGUAAUCCUGAGGUCGCAAGUUCGAGCCUUGCAGGGGGCA